rnacentral:rRNA from 1 species
AGUGAACGCUGGCGGUAGGCCUAACACAUGCAAGUCGAACGGCAGCACAGUAAGAGCUUGCUCUUACGGGUGGCGAGUGGCGGACGGGUGAGGAAUACAUCGGAAUCUACUUUUUCGUGGGGGAUAAUGUAGGGAAACUUACGCUAAUACCGCAUACGACCUACGGGUGAAAGCAGGGGAUCUUCGGACCUUGCGCGAUUGAAUGAGCCGAUGUCGGAUUAGCUAGUUGGCGGGGUAAAGGCCCACCAAGGCGACGAUCCGUAGCUGGUCUGAGAGGAUGAUCAGCCACACUGGAACUGAGACACGGUCCAGACUCCUACGGGAGGCGGCAGUGGGGAAUAUUGGACAAUGGGCGCAAGCCUGAUCCAGCCAUACCGCGUGGGUGAAGAAGGCCUUCGGGUUGUAAAGCCCUUUUGUUGGGAAAGAAAAGCAGCAGGUUAAUACCCCGCUGUUCUGACGGUACCCAAAGAAUAAGCACCGGCUAACCUCGUG